rnacentral:piRNA from 1 species
GGCCAGAUCAACAUUUCUCUGUAAGG